rnacentral:lncRNA from 1 species
AAGCUGUAGAAAGAGCUGAGUCAAGGAAACUUGGUUUUGAUACACGAUGCUGGUGUACGCUUUUUAAAAAAAGACAAACCUGUGAUAUGAAAUACAACAGCCCUUCUUAUGCCUGGGGACGGCUUCUUGAGUUGAUAUCUGACAAGUGAUGCUUGGUCAGACGACUCAAGCAGAGAGGAUGGCGUGGGGCCCGCAAACAGCGGUUCUUCAGGGAAACCAACUUUCUGCUGGCGCUCGGGAACCGCAGGAGGGAGCGCGAAUUCACUAGAAACUGCCGAGUGAAGAAGGAGAGAGGCCCUGGACUUGCAGCGGGCUGAAGCAGGGACUACACUCUUUAGAGCAGCAAUUAAGAACCUUCCAUUGCAGACGGCUCCAGCUCCUGUUCGGCAGAGAUCACCGAACCAUCUACAAAAAGCCUGGGCAAGAUUUUAACUCUUUCAUUACCCAGAUGAGACUUGCAGAUUAAUCUUUUUAUCCAGAGAGAGAGAGAGAGAGAGUGAUCAACAUGAAAAGAGACUUUAUAAACUACCAGUGACAGGAAAGAAAAGAAGCUUCAGAAGAGGUAGAGAGUUAAGAAUAUGCUUUAAUUAAGCUGAAAUAUCUUUCUGUUAAAACUAUGGAGAUGGACAAUGAAGUCCUGAAAAGAACUCCUUUAAUUCAUGAUAGAGUAUCUAGAGAGGAAUAAAGUGUUCAAAGUGUAAAUUUGAGUAAAAAGU